rnacentral:rRNA from 1 species
GAUGAACGCUAGCUACAGGCUUAACACAUGCAAGUCGAGGGGAAACGAUAGAGAAAGCUUGCUUUUUCUAGGCGUCGACCGGCGCACGGGUGAGUAACGCGUAUCCAACCUGCCCACCACUUGGGGAUAACCUUGCGAAAGUAAGACUAAUACCCAAUGACGUCUCUAGAAGACAUCUGAAAGAGAUUUAAAGAUUUAUCGGUGAUGGAUGGGGAUGCGUCUGAUUAGCUUGUUGGCGGGGUAACGGCCCACCAAGGCGACGAUCAGUAGGGGUUCUGAGAGGAAGGUCCCCCCACAUUGGAACUGAGACACGGUCCAAACUCCUACGGGAGGCAGCAGUGAGGAAUAUUGGUCAAUGGACGAGAGUCUGAACCAGCCAAGUAGCGUGCAGGAUGACAGCCCUAUGGGUUGUAAACUGCUUUUAUAAGGGAUAAAGUGAGUCUCGUGUGCCUUUUUGUAUGUACCGUAUGAAUAAGGAUCGGCUAACUCCGUGCCAGCAGCCG